UACAGAGGGGGCAAGCGUUGUUCGGAAUUACUGGGCGUAAAGGGCGCGUAGGCGGCCAGCUAAGUCAGACGUGAAAUCCCCGGGCUCAACCCGGGAACUGCGUCUGAUACUGGAUGGCUUGAGUUCGGGAGAGGGAAGUGGAAUUCCAGGUGUAGCGGUGAAAUGCGUAGAUAUCUGGAGGAACACCGGUGGCGAAGGCGGCUUCCUGGACCGACACUGACGCUGAGGCGCGAAAGCCAGGGGAGCAAACGGG
rnacentral:rRNA from 1 species